rfam:Candidatus Accumulibacter sp. SK-12 contig000016, whole genome shotgun sequence.
CGGGGCGUGGCGCAGCCUGGUAGCGCACUUGCAUGGGGUGCAAGGGGUCCCGAGUUCGAAUCCCGGCGCCCCGA